GAUCAUGGCUCAGGACGAACGCUGGCGGCGCGCCUAACACAUGCAAGUCGAACGAGAGAUGAGGAGCUUGCUCUUCAAAUCGAGUGGCGAACGGGUGAGUAACGCGUGAGGAACCUGCCUCAAAGAGGGGGGACAACAGUUGGAAACGACUGCUAAUACCGCAUAAGCCCACCGGCUCGGCGAUCGAGCAGAGGGAAAAAGGGAAGGCAAUCCGCUUGUAGAUGCGUCGCGUCCGCUAGU
rnacentral:rRNA from 1 species